rnacentral:misc_RNA from 1 species
GAAAUGCGAUAAGUAAUGUGAAUUGCAGAAUUCAGUGAAUCAUCGAAUCUUUGAACGCACAUUGCGCCCGCCAGUAUUCUGGCGGGCAUGCCUGUUCGAGCGUCAUUUCAACCAUCAAGCCCCCGGCUUGUUUUGGGGACCUGCGGCUGCCCGCAGGCCCUGAAAAACAGUGGCGGGCUCGCUGUCACACCGAGCGUAGUAGCAUACAUUCUCGCUCAGGGCGUGCUGCGGGUUCCGGCCGUUAAACGACCUUCAUAACCCAAGGUUGACCUCGGAUCAGGUAGGAAGACCCGCUGAACUUAAGC